AUAGAGUCAAGUGAUUUAAGUGCAUCAGGUGGAUGCCUUGGCGAUGAUAGGCGAAGAAGGACGUGAUAGUCUGCGAAAAGCUUCGGGGAGUUGGCAAUAAGCAUUGAUCCGGAGAUAUCCGAAUGGGGAAACCCGCCUAGUAUUAACUAGGCAUUUUUAACUGAAUACAUAGGUUAAAGAAGCGAACCUAGGGAACUGAACCAUCUAAGUACCUAGAGGAAAAGAAAUCAACCGAGAUUCCGUAAGUAGUGGCGAGCGAAAGCGGAGGAGCCUGUAUAUGAUAAUUAGUGAUUUAGGAGAACAACUUGGGAAAGUUGGCCAUAGAGGGUGAAAGCCCCGUAUUUGAAAGAUUGCUAAUGGUACUAAGUAUACGAGAAGUAGGGCGGGACACGAGGAAUCCUGCUUGAAGAUGGGGGGACCAUCCUCCAAGGCUAAAUACUCAUCAUCGACCGAUAGUGAACUAGUACCGUGAGGGAAAGGUGAAAAGAACCCCGGGAGGGGAGUGAAAAGAACCUGAAACCUGAUGCAUACAAACAGUGGGAGCUACAUUUAAUGUAGUGACUGCGUACCUUUUGUAUAAUGGGUCAACGACUUACAUUCAGUAGCGAGCUUAACCGGAUAGGGGAGGCGUAGGGAAACCGAGUCUUAAUAGGGCGAUAGUUGCUGGGUGUAGACCCGAAACCGAGUGAUCUAUCCAUGUCCAGGAUGAAGGUUAGGUAACACUGACUGGAGGUCCGAACCUACUAAUGUUGCAAAAUUAGAGGAUGAGGUGUGGAUAGGGGUGAAAGGCCAAACAAACUCGGAGAUAGCUGGUUCUCCCCGAAAACUAUUUAGGUAGUGCCUUAAGAGCAUACUCACGGGGGUAAAGCACUGUUAUGGCUAGGGGGUCAUUGCGACUUACCAACCCAUGGCAAACUCAGAAUACCGUGAAGUAAAUUCUUAGGAGACAGACAUCGGGUGCUAACGUCCGGUGUCGAGAGGGAAACAACCCAGACCGCCAGCUAAGGUCCCGAAUGAUCAGUUAAGUGGAAAACGAAGUGAGAAGGCAUAGACAGCUAGGAUGUUGGCUUAGAAGCAGCCAUCAUUUAAAGAAAGCGUAAUAGCUCACUAGUCGAGUCGUCUUGCGCGGAAGAUGUAACGGGGCUCAAACUGAUAACCGAAGCUGCGGAUAUAUACGUAAGUAUGUAUGGUAGGGGAGCGUUCUGUAGGCCGAAGAAGGUGCAUUGAGAAAUGUGCUGGAGGUAUCAGAAGUGCGAAUGUUGACAUGAGUAGCGAUAAAACGAGUGAAAAGCUCGUUCGCCGAAAGCCCAAGGUUUCCUACGCAACGUUAAUCGGCGUAGGGUGAGUCGGCCCCUAAGGUGAGGCAGAAAUGCGUAAUCGAUGGGAAACGGGUUAAUAUUCCCGUACUUAUUUAUAGUGCGAUGUGGGGACGGAGAAGGUUAGGUUAUCAACCUGUUGGAAUAGGUUGUUUAAGCAUGUAGGUAGGACACUUAGGCAAAUCCGGGUGUUCAAUACUGAGGUGUGAUGACGAGGACUUACGGGUCCGAAGUAACUGAUACCCUGCUUCCAGGAAAAGCCACUAAGCAUAGCUAUAAAUGAACCGUACCGCAAACCGACACAGGUGGGCAGGAAGAAAAUUCUAAGGCGCUUGAGAGAACUCAGGAGAAGGAACUCGGCAAAAUGACACCGUAACUUCGGGAGAAGGUGUGCCCUUGGUAUGUGAAGAGCCUGCGCUCGGAGCAGAAGGGGGCCGCAGAGAAUCGGUGGCUGCGACUGUUUACUAAAAACACAGCACUCUGCAAACACGAAAGUGGACGUAUAGGGUGUGACGCCUGCCCGGUGCUGGAAGAUUAAAUGAUGGGGUGAGAGCUCUUGAUUGAAGUCCCAGUAAACGGCGGCCGUAACUAUAACGGUCCUAAGGUAGCGAAAUUCCUUGUCGGGUAAGUUCCGACCUGCACGAAUGGCGUAACGAUGGCCACACUGUCUCCUCCUGAGACUCAGCGAAGUUGAAGUGGUUGUGAAGAUGCAAUCUACCCGCUGCUAGACGGAAAGACCCCGUGAACCUUUACUGUAGCUUUGCAUUGGACUUUGAAGUUGUAUGUGUAGGAUAGGUGGGAGGCUAAGAAAUAAUGACGCUAGUUGUUAUGGAGCCAUUGGUGAAAUACCACCCUUAUAACUUUGAGGUUCUAACUUAGGUCUCUGAAUCGAGAUUAAGGACCGUGCAUGGUAGGCAGUUUGACUGGGGCGGUCUCCUCCUAAAGCGUAACGGAGGAGUUCGAAGGUUACCUAGGUCCGGUCGGAAAUCGGACUGAUAGUAUAAUGGCAUAAGGUAGCUUAACUGCGAGACUGACAAGUCGAGCAGGUGCGAAAGCAGGACAUAGUGAUCCGGUGGUUCUGAAUGGAAGGGCCAUCGCUCAACGGAUAAAAGGUACUCCGGGGAUAACAGGCUGAUUCCGCCCAAGAGUUCAUAUCGACGGCGGAGUUUGGCACCUCGAUGUCGGCUCAUCACAUCCUGGGGCUGUAGUUGGUCCCAAGGGUAUGGCUGUUCGCCAUUUAAAGUGGUACGUGAGCUGGGUUUAGAACGUCGUGAGACAGUUUGGUCCCUAUCUGCAGUGGGCGUUGGAAGUUUGACGGGGGUUGCUCCUAGUACGAGAGGACCGGAGUGAACAAACCUCUGGUGUACCGGUUGUCACGCCAGUGGCAUAGCCGGGUAGCUAAGUUUGGAAGAGAUAAACGCUGAAAGCAUCUAAGCGUGAAGCUCGCCUGAAGAUGAGACUUCCCUGGAGAUAUAAUCUCCCUAAAGAGACGUUAGAGACUAUGACGUUGAUAGGUCGGGUGUGUAAGUGCGGUAACGCAUGAAGCUAACCGAUACUAAUUGCUCGUGAGGCUUGAUUCUAU
rnacentral:rRNA from 1 species